rnacentral:sRNA from 1 species
UUAUUACAGCUGACCUACUGUCUCCUGUCCGUUUUAGGAGCGGUGACAUAGAUUAUCACCCCUUAGUGUUUUCCUGUCAUCUGCCUUCUCGUCUCCACCUAAAAUUUAGUUUUCAGUAAAAGAUUGUGCUAUCUAAACCUGUCAUCAUUGCAAAACAGAUUUAUUUACGUUUAUCAUGAUGCUGACAUUAGCAAGCUGACUCAUGGUUUAAUGUUAAUGUUUCUUACUACUGGUCACUGGCUGACAGUUGGAAAAAUGAUGCCCUAUUUUUUUUUUUUUUUUUUUUUUUUGAGAUGGAACCUUGCUGUGUUGCCCAGACUGAAGUGCAGUGGUGCCAUCUUGGCUCACUGCAACCUCUGCCUCCCAGGUUCAAGCGAUUCUUCUGCCUCAGCCUCCCGAGUAGCUGAGACUACAGGUGCAUGCCACCACGCGCAGCUGAUUUUUAUAUUUUUAGUAGAGGUUGGGCUUCACCAUAUUGGCUGGGCUGGUCUCGAACCUCUGACCUCAUGGAUCCUCCCGCCUCGGCCUCCCAAAGUGCUGGGAUUACAGGUCUGAGCCACUGGGCCCUGCCUUUUUUUGUUUUUGUUUUUGAUACGGAGUCUUGCUCUCUUGCCUAGGCUGGAGUACGGUGGUCCGGUCUUGGUUCACUACAACUUCUGCCUCCCAGGCUCAAGCGAUUCUCCUGCCUCAGCCUCCUGAGUAGCUGGGAUUACAGGCACCCGCUACCAUGCCCGGCUAAUUUUUGUAUUUUUAUUAGAGACCAUGUUGGCCAGACUGGUCUUGAACUGCUGACCUCAGAUGAUCCGCCCACCUUGGCCUCCCAAAGUGCUGGGAUUACAGGUGUGAGCCACUGCGCCCAGUCCUGUCUCUAUUUUUAUCUGAAAUUGUGUUAGCCUUUGCCUAGUUAUGGUGAAUUAACCUUAGCAUAUGAUAGUUCUCUUAAUGUUUCCCGCCACCCUUUUCAGAGUAAGCAAUUAGACGUGUACAGCUUCUUUUCCUUUAUCUCUUUGGGUAAAUAGCAACCAGUUUUUCCUGCUACUUUAGAUAGUAGGCAAUAACGAAAUGUAUUCAUAGCUCUCAGUAAUAUUUGUUCUAUUGUUUUGUUUUUGAGGUGAAAGGGGGGACCCUACCCUCAGAACAUGAGGGAAUAAUAUUUACGUGGCUCACAAAGACCAGCAAUGGAUCACUUGGAGUCCUUUAUUGCGGAAUGUGAUCGGAGAACUGAGCUCGCCAAGAAGCGGCUGGCAGAAACACAGGAGGAAAUCAGUGCGGAAGUUUCUGCAAAGGCAGAAAAAGUACAUGAGUUAAAUGAAGAAAUAGGAAAACUCCUUGCUAAAGCCGAACAGCUAGGGGCUGAAGGUAAUGUGGAUGAAUCCCAGAAGAUUCUUAUGGAAGUGGAAAAAGUUCGUGCAAAGAAAAAAGAAGCCGAGGAAGAAUACAGAAAUUCCAUGCCUGCAUCCAGUUUUCAGCAGCAAAAGCUGCGUGUCUGCGAGGUCUGUUCAGCCUACCUUGGUCUCCAUGACAAUGACCGUCGCUUGGCAGACCACUUCGGUGGCAAGUUACACUUGGGGUUCAUUCAGAUACGAGAGAAGCUUGAUCAGUUGAGGAAAACUGUUGCUGAAAAGCAGGAGAAGAGAAAUCAGGAUCGCUUGAGGAGGAGAGAGGAGAGGGAACGGGAGGAGCGUCUGAGCAGGAGGUCGGGAUCAAGAACCAGAGAUCGCAGGAGGUCACGCUCCCGGGAUCGGCGUCGGAGGCGGUCAAGAUCUACCUCCCGAGAGCGACGGAAGUUGUCCCGGUCCCGGUCCCGAGAUAGACAUCGGCGCCACCGCAGCCGUUCCCGGAGCCACAGCCGGGGACAUCGUCGGGCUUCCCGGGACCGGAGUGCGAAAUACAAGUUCUCCAGAGAGCGGGCAUCCAGAGAGGAGUCCUGGGAGAGCGGGCGGAGCGAGCGAGGGCCCCCGGACUGGAGGCUUGAGAGCUCCAACGGGAAGAUGGCUUCACGGAGGUCAGAAGAGAAGGAGGCCGGCGAGAUCUGAACCCAUCUCCCGGGUGCUGUAAAUAGUCUGAUAAACGUUCACACAGUCUAAAAUUACCCUUUAUAUUUGCUGAAUACAACUCAUCUUUUGUAGUUUAAAA